AUGGCAAUUACAACGCUAAAUUCCGUAAUUGAAUUAUCUCUUGGACUCUUAAUAUACAUUCUUUAGUCCGAGGAUCAUUGAUAAUUCAUUUAUAUUCAUCUUUUUUACCAGCUGUAUACUUUCUCCCCCUUAUGUUGGAAUAGCUGACUAUAUAAUAUGAUAGUCUUCAAAAC
rnacentral:sRNA from 1 species